GCUGCUUCUCAGCCUUCUGGCUAAGAUCACGUGUAGUACUGUUCUUAUCAGUUUAAUAUCUGAUACAUCUUUGAUGAGAGGACUUUAUAUCAUCCUGGCAUGGAUGUACCUCCU
rfam:Colinus virginianus strain Texas jcf7180006008216, whole genome shotgun sequence.